rnacentral:rRNA from 1 species
GGUUAAGCGACUAAGCGUACACGGUGGAUGCCCUGGCAGUCAGAGGCGAUGAAGGACGUGCUAAUCUGCGAUAAGCGUCGGUGAGGUGAUAUGAACCGUUAUAACCGGCGAUUUCCGAAUGGGGAAACCCAGUGUGUUUCGACACACUAUCAUUAACUGAAUCCAUAGGUUAAUGAGGCGAACCGGGGGAACUGAAACAUCUAAGUACCCCGAGGAAAAGAAAUCAACCGAGAUUCCCCCAGUAGCGGCGAGCGAACGGGGAGGAGCCCAGAGCCUGAAUCAGUGUGUGUGUUAGUGGAAGCGUCUGGAAAGGCGUGCGAUACAGGGUGACAGCCCCGUACACAAAAAUGCACAUAUUGUGAGCUCGAUGAGUAGGGCGGGACACGUGGUAUCCUGUCUGAAUAUGGGGGGACCAUCCUCCAAGGCUAAAUACUCCUGACUGACCGAUAGUGAACCAGUACCGUGAGGGAAAGGCGAAAAGAACCCCGGCGAGGGGAGUGAAAAAGAACCUGAAACCGUGUACGUACAAGCAGUGGGAGCCUCUUAAUGGGGUGACUGCGUACCUUUUGUAUAAUGGGUCAGCGACUUAUAUUCUGUAGCAAGGUUAACCGAAUAGGGGAGCCGAAGGGAAACCGAGUCUUAACUGGGCGUUAAGUUGCAGGGUAUAGACCCGAAACCCGGUGAUCUAGCCAUGGGCAGGUUGAAGGUUGGGUAACACUAACUGGAGGACCGAACCGACUAAUGUUGAAAAAUUAGCGGAUGACUUGUGGCUGGGGGUGAAAGGCCAAUCAAACCGGGAGAUAGCUGGUUCUCCCCGAAAGCUAUUUAGGUAGCGCCUCGUGAAUUCAUCUCCGGGGGUAGAGCACUGUUUCGGCAAGGGGGUCAUCCCGACUUACCAACCCGAUGCAAACUGCGAAUACCGGAGAAUGUUAUCACGGGAGACACACGGCGGGUGCUAACGUCCGUCGUGAAGAGGGAAACAACCCAGACCGCCAGCUAAGGUCCCAAAGUCAUGGUUAAGUGGGAAACGAUGUGGGAAGGCCCAGACAGCCAGGAUGUUGGCUUAGAAGCAGCCAUCAUUUAAAGAAAGCGUAAUAGCUCACUGGUCGAGUCGGCCUGCGCGGAAGAUGUAACGGGGCUAAACCAUGCACCGAAGCUGCGGCAGCGACACUAUGUGUUGUUGGGUAGGGGAGCGUUCUGUAAGCCUGUGAAGGUGGCCUGUGAGGGUUGCUGGAGGUAUCAGAAGUGCGAAUGCUGACAUAAGUAACGAUAAAGCGGGUGAAAAGCCCGCUCGCCGGAAGACCAAGGGUUCCUGUCCAACGUUAAUCGGGGCAGGGUGAGUCGACCCCUAAGGCGAGGCCGAAAGGCGUAGUCGAUGGGAAACAGGUUAAUAUUCCUGUACUUGGUGUUACUGCGAAGGGGGGACGGAGAAGGCUAUGUUGGCCGGGCGACGGUUGUCCCGGUUUAAGCGUGUAGGCUGGUUUUCCAGGCAAAUCCGGAAAACCAAGGCUGAGGCGUGAUGACGAAGCACUACGGUGCUGAAGCGACAAAUGCCCUGCUUCCAGGAAAAGCCUCUAAGCAUCAGGUAACAUCAAAUCGUACCCCAAACCGACACAGGUGGUCAGGUAGAGAAUACCAAGGCGCUUGAGAGAACUCGGGUGAAGGAACUAGGCAAAAUGGUGCCGUAACUUCGGGAGAAGGCACGCUGAUAUGUAGGUGAAGCGACUUGCUCGUGGAGCUGAAAUCAGUCGAAGAUACCAGCUGGCUGCAACUGUUUAUUAAAAACACAGCACUGUGCAAACACGAAAGUGGACGUAUACGGUGUGACGCCUGCCCGGUGCCGGAAGGUUAAUUGAUGGGGUUAGCGGUAACGCGAAGCUCUUGAUCGAAGCCCCGGUAAACGGCGGCCGUAACUAUAACGGUCCUAAGGUAGCGAAAUUCCUUGUCGGGUAAGUUCCGACCUGCACGAAUGGCGUAAUGAUGGCCAGGCUGUCUCCACCCGAGACUCAGUGAAAUUGAACUCGCUGUGAAGAUGCAGUGUACCCGCGGCAAGACGGAAAGACCCCGUGAACCUUUACUAUAGCUUGACACUGAACAUUGAGCCUUGAUGUGUAGGAUAGGUGGGAGGCUUUGAAGUGUGGACGCCAGUCUGCAUGGAGCCGAC